AGGCAGUUCUCAUUCCAUAGGUAGGAGAACUUCAGGAAUUUAAUUAAAACUAUCAUUAGAUGUUCUAGAUCUGAUUUUAGAACAGAAGAAAAUGCACAUAUCCUCCUGAAAAGAAAUAAAGGAAAAGAUGGCGAUGUUAAUGGUUAUGUAAUAUUGGUUGGAGUGGAACUACCAAGUUUCAUCAGAUCAGAAUAUCAUUUAAAGUAAAUCACAUUAUUUGGGGACCUUUGAAUGUAUCAUUUUGGCAGUUUUCAAUGUAACAAUCAUAUUUUUUUAAAGAAAAAAAAAAUUGUUUGAUUUGGCCACAUAAAUUUCCAAAACCGACCAAUGUUUUGGAUAAGUUUCAGAGAAGAUCCAGACUUUUCAUUUUCGUUUUCAUGUUCCUAAUGGAACUUCACACCAUGAUAUAGACAAAUCACAACCAAGGACAGAUGCAAGGAGAAAAAAAAAAGAAUGAAGUAGACACAGAAAAUGAAAGAAGGGGAAUGAACAUGGGACUUGUUUUUCAUUUUUUUCUCUUUGAAAAAAAUCAUCUAACACCAAUAUAGAAGCUCAUUGACUAUGCAAAGUCAAUUUUACUGUUUCUGGUGGUAUUUCACUCAAGAGAAUGGUAAUGAUAGUUCAAUUAUUUUAUUAUUUUAUGUGAUGCUAGUAUAAAUUAAAAAAUUAGUACAUGAAACAAGAUAUGUAAGAUUUCAAAUAAACAAUGAAAGAGAAGAAAGCCCCUAUCGUCUGUUGAUUGUUCUAUAAUUAACUCUUGUUAACUGCUAGACGGAUAAUUUAAAUUUGCAGAACUUUACUGACCUGGUAUAACUGCAAAAAUAACAGGCUAAGCUUCAUGAUUGCAAGAUGACAUGGCUAUUUUGCAUGAAUAACAUGACCGAGGCACAAAGACCUUGGAGGAGCAAACUAACAAUAUGUUCAAUUGUCUUGGAGAUGAAACAAGGAGAUUAUAUGAGCAACCGAACAACUGGAAAUACUGCAGUAGAACUGGCUAGUUACAAACAUCAAAGUGCUAAUAUCAUUGAAGAAUGACUGCUUCAGUCACAUUUUAUGUGAAACAGAAAAACAAAUUUAUGUAAGUUUUAUGUUUUUACCGUUAAUCUGUGUAAUUUGGAUUUACUGAGAACCAGAUGUAGAGUGGUAAGAAGAUGUUAUGGUUGGUCUAGCAUUACUUAGAAGCAAUAGCUUUAAAUUUAAGUUGAAUAAGAAAAAUCAAGUUUUAAUCUUAGUAAGAGUCUAGGUUAUAUUUAAGCAAUAAUAUUGCUCGUUGGUUGGUCAUAGGUUAAUUUAUAAAUCCUUAGUAUAAAAGUUAGAAGUAUUGAAUCAAUGAAAUAUGAUCGAAAGAUAUUUAGACGUGCCACUAUGCUACCCGAUCGACUCAGUCAGGAGGGCAAUAUCUAUCCUUCCAACAUAGUCAGACAAAAAGGGGCAUGAAGAGCAAAUAGGCAGCUGUUUAGCACACCAAAAAAGGAAAAAAAAAGGCACAUGC
rnacentral:lncRNA from 1 species